UACGAAGGGGGCUAGCGUUGCUCGGAAUCACUGGGCGUAAAGGGUGCGUAGGCGGUGCGUUAAGUCAGGGGUGAAAUCCCAGGGCUCAACCCUGGAACUGCCUUUGAUACUGUCGAUCUGGAGUAUGGAAGAGGUGAGUGGAAUUCCGAGUGUAGAGGUGAAAUUCGUAGAUAUUCGGAGGAACACCAGUGGCGAAGGCGGCUCACUGGUCCAUUACUGACGCUGAGGUGCGAAAGCGUGGGGAGCAAACAGG
rnacentral:rRNA from 1 species